rnacentral:rRNA from 1 species
CUGAGGCGUGACGACGAGGCACUACGGUGCUGAAGCAACAAAUGCCCUGCUUCCAGGAAAAGCCUCUAAGCAUCAGGUAACAUCAAAUCGUACCCCAAACCGACACAGGUGGUCAGGUAGAGAAUACCAAGGCGCUUGAGAGAACUCGGGUGAAGGAACUAGGCAAAAUGGUGCCGUAACUUCGGGAGAAGGCACGCUGACACGUAGGUGAAGUGAUUUACUCAUGGAGCUGAAGUCAGUCGAAGAUACCAGCUGGCUGCAACUGUUUAUUAAAAACACAGCACUGUGCAAACACGAAAGUGGACGUAUACGGUGUGACGCCUGCCCGGUGCCGGAAGGUUAAUUGAUGGGGUCAGCGCAAGCGAAGCUCCUGAUCGAAGCCCCGGUAAACGGCGGCCGUAACUAUAACGGUCCUAAGGUAGCGAAAUUCCUUGUCGGGUAAGUUCCGACCUGCACGAAUGGCGUAAUGAUGGCCAGGCUGUCUCCACCCGAGACUCAGUGAAAUUGAACUCGCUGUGAAGAUGCAGUGUACCCGCGGCAAGACGGAAAGACCCCGUGAACCUUUACUAUAGCUUGACACUGAACAUUGAGCCUUGAUGUGUAGGAUAGGUGGGAGGCUUUGAAGUGUGGACGCCAGUCUGCAUGGAGCCGACCUUGAAAUACCACCCUUUAAUGUUUGAUGUUCUAACGUGGACCCGUUACCCGGGUUGCGGACAGUGUCUGGUGGGUAGUUUGACUGGGGCGGUCUCCUCCUAAAGAGUAACGGAGGAGCACGAAGGUUGGCUAAUCCUGGUCGGACAUCAGGAGGUUAGUGCAAUGGCAUAAGCCAGCUUGACUGCGAGCGUGACGGCGCGAGCAGGUGCGAAAGCAGGUCAUAGUGAUCCGGUGGUUCUGAAUGGAAGGGCCAUCGCUCAACGGAUAAAAGGUACUCCGGGGAUAACAGGCUGAUACCGCCCAAGAGUUCAUAUCGACGGCGGUGUUUGGCACCUCGAUGUCGGCUCAUCACAUCCUGGGGCUGAAGUAGGUCCCAAGGGUAUGGCUGUUCGCCAUUUAAAGUGGUACGCGAGCUGGGUUUAGAACGUCGUGAGACAGUUCGGUCCCUAUCUGCCGUGGGCGCUGGAGAACUGAGGGGGGCUGCUCCUAGUACGAGAGGACCGGAGUGGACGCAUCACUGGUGUUCGGGUUGUCAUGCCAAUGGCACUGCCCGGUAGCUAAAUGCGGAAGAGAUAAGUGCUGAAAGCAUCUAAGCACGAAACUUGCCCCGAGAUGAGUUCUCCCUGAGACUUAGAGUCUCCUGAAGGAACGUUGAAGACGACGACGUUGAUAGGCCGGGUGUGUAAGCGCAGCGAUGCGUUGAGCUAACCGGUACUAAUGAACCGUGAGGCUUAACC